AACGAACGCUGGCGGCAUGCCUAACACAUGCAAGUCGAACGAGACCUUCGGGUCUAGUGGCGCACGGGUGCGUAACGCGUGGGAACCUGCCCUUAGGUUCGGAAUAACUCCCCGAAAGGGGUGCUAAUACCGGAUAAUGUCUUCGGACCAAAGAUUUAUCGCCUUUGGAUGGGCCCGCGUUGGAUUAGCUAGUUGGUAGGGUAAAAGCCUACCAAGGCGACGAUCCAUAGCUGGUCUGAGAGGAUGAUCAGCCACACUGGGACUGAGACACGGCCCAGACUCCUACGGGAGGCAGCAGUGGGGAAUAUUGGAAAAUGGGCGAAAGCCUGAUCCAGCAAUGCCGCGUGAGUGAUGAAGGCCUUAGGGUUGUAAAGCUCGUUUACCCGGGAUGAUAAUGACAGUACCGGGAGAAUAAGCUCCGGCUAACUCCGUA
rnacentral:rRNA from 1 species